rnacentral:rRNA from 1 species
UACGAAGGGGGCUAGCGUUGUUCGGAAUUACUGGGCGUAAAGCGUGCGCAGACGGUUGCGUAAGUCAGAUGUGAAAGCCCCGGGCUCAACCUGGGAAUUGCAUUUGAGACUGCGUAGCUAGGGUGCGGAAGAGGGAAGCGGAAUUUCCGGUGUAGCGGUGAAAUGCGUAGAUAUCGGAAGGAACACCAGUGGCGAAGGCGACUGUCUGGACAGAUACUGACGCUGAGGCGCGAAAGCGUGGGGAGCAAACAGG